AUUGAACGCUGGCGGCAUGCCUUACACAUGCAAGUCGAACGGCAGCACGGGUGCUUGCACCUGGUGGCGAUUGGCGCACGGGUGAGUAAUACAUCGGGACAUGUCCUGUAGUGGGGUAUAGCCCGGCGGAAGCCGGAUUAAUACCGCCUGCGAUCUACGGAUAAAAGAGGGGGACCUUCGGGCCUCGCGCUAUACGGUUGCUCGUUGGCUGAUUAGCUAGUUGGUGGGGUAAUGGCCUACCAAGGCGACGAUCAGUAGCUGGUCUGAGAGGACGACCAGCCACACUGGGACUGAGACACGGCCCAGACUCCUACGGGAGGCAGCAGUGGGGAAUUUUGGACAAUGGGCGAAAGCCUGAUCCAGCAACGCCGCGUGUGUGAAGAAGGCCUUCGGGUUGUAAAGCACUGUUGUCCGGAAAGAAAACCUUGGCCAUAAUACGGUCGGGGGAUGACGGUACCGGAAGAAUAAGCACCGGCUAACUACGUG
rnacentral:rRNA from 1 species